AGCAGUCGCCGCGGUAAUACGUAGGGUGCGAGCGUUAAUCGGAAUUACUGGGCGCAAAGCGUGCGCAGGCGGUUGUGCAAGACAGAUGUGAAAUCCCCGAGCUUAACUUGGGAACUGCAUUUGUGACUGCACGGCUAGAGUGUGUCAGAGGGGGGUAGAAUUCCACGUGUAGCAGUGAAAUGCGUAGAUAUGUGGAGGAAUACCGAUGGCGAAGGCAGCCCCCUGGGAUAACACUGACGCUCAUGCACGAAAGCGUGGGGAGCAAACAGGAUUAGAUACCCCUGUAGUCCCUGUCUCUUAUAC
rnacentral:rRNA from 1 species